AGCGGCGGACGGGUGAGUAACGCGUGGGUAACCUGCCUCAUACAGGGGGAUAACAGUUGGAAACGGCUGCUAAUACCGCAUAAGCGCACAGUACCGCAUGGUACGGUGUGAAAAACUCCGGUGGUAUGAGAUGGACCCGCGUCUGAUUAGGUAGUUGGUGGGGUAACGGCCCACCAAGGCAACGAUCAGUAGCCGACCUGAGAGGGUGACCGGCCACAUUGGGACUGAGACACGGCCCAG
rnacentral:rRNA from 1 species